UCGCGCUGCUAGCUGUAGUCGAUGACGC
rnacentral:sRNA from 1 species